GCCAGGCAUGGUGGCGCGUGCCUGUAGUCUCAGCUACUUAGGGAGGCUGAGGCAGGAGGAUCACCUGAGCCCGGGAGGUCAAGGCUGCCCUGAGCUGUGAUCAUGCCACUGCACUCCAGCCUGGGCAAUAGAGUGAGACCCUGUCUCAA
ensembl:misc_RNA Metazoa_SRP Metazoan signal recognition particle RNA